ensembl:lncRNA
GUUUCAGCCCACCCAUUCAUUUUCCACAAAGAGACCGUAUAAAUAUAGAGGCCUGCAUAUCACUCGACUAUGAGCUCUCACACUUACACUGAAGAGGACACUGAAGAGGAAUUAUUAUACUGACACCAUGUAUCUACACUGGAUUCUGGCUCUGAUGGUGACUCUGCUGCACUGCUUUACAGCUAGACGCAUCGACACAUUUGAUGACAUAAACACAACUAUUAAUUUACUGAAGACAGAAAGCUGUAAAGAACAUGAUUCUACUUUCUACAGUCCGAGUGGUAACAGCUGCCCCAUCCAAGCUCUGAAUUGCUCUGUUGACGAGCUGAACGUAGUUAAAUCAGAGUGCUUUGAACCGGACUACAAGAAGGGCAGGCGUGUCAAACGGUUACAGGAUCUCAUAAAGAGGAUGCUGAAGGCGAACACAGAACAAGGCAACUCUACAAGCUGCCCAUGUGAGAAAGAACCGAAGAUGCCAUAUAAAGAAUUCCUAGAUAAUAUCCAUAAACUGGUCCAAAUGGUGAACAGCAGUCAAUAAAAAGACUGAAUGACAAUGUAUGUGCAGGGCAAACAUUACAACAGAGUGACUCAGUUGCAGUGUAGUGUAAUCACUGCAAUUUCUUUCCUGAUGUUUGCUUGAAAAUGAAAGGUUCUCAGAUUGAAGUAAUUUCUCAUUUUAAGUAAUACCUACUGAAUGUAUCUUCCACGAAGAAAUUCUGUCAAAGUUCUCUUUCUUGAUUUUUUUGUAAAGCACUAACAAUUUUAUAUAAGCUUUUUCUAGGCUGUGCAGAUAUUUAUGUAUUUAUAUAUUUAUUUAAAAUAUUUAAUAUGUAAUAUUAAAAUGCUUGUGAUCUGAGGAGAAAAAUAAAGAGAUGCUUGUUCUAAAAGUUGGAGUUGCAUUUAUUUAAGUUUAAGUUUAACAUAGGACCUUCUUUCAUCAGUUUA